GUUGAACGCUGGCGGCGUGCUUAACACAUGCAAGUCGAACGGAAAGGCCAGUGCUUGCACUGGUGCUCGAGUGGCGCACGGGUGAGUAACACGUGGGUGAUCUGCCCUGCACUUUGGGAUAAGCCUGGGAAACUGGGUCUAAUACCUGAUAGGACCAUGCUUUGGAUGGUGUGGUGGAAAGUUUUUGCGGUGUGGGAGGAGCUUGCGGCCUAUCGGCUUGUUGGUGGGGUAAUGGCCUACCAAGGCGUCGACGGGUCGCCGGACAGAGAGGGUGUACGGCGACAUUGGGACUGAGGGGAGGCCCCGGUGCCGACGGGAGGAAGAAGGGGGGAAGCUUGCACAAUGGGCGCAAGGCUGAUGCAGAGACGCUGCGUGGGGGAUGACGGCCUUCGGGUUGUAAACUCGGUUCGCAACUGACGAAGCUUUUUGUGACGGUAGGUUGAGAAGAAGCACCGGCUAACUACGUG
rnacentral:rRNA from 1 species